GGAGUUGAAAGAGUGUGUGAAGGAAACAGUACAGUAGCUCAGGACGGCUCACUAGGACAGGAGAAAAUGUGAUUUUUGAACCAGUUUGUUGUUUUUUGUUUCAAUUUUCUCCAUCUCUGAAAUUCUGGUCGUGUUUUUUUAUUUAUUUUUUUACUCUUUUUUUUUAUGGUUCAUCAAGACAAACACUGAGGAUACAAGAAGGAGCACCACAACCAGACUGAAAGCAUGUUCCCGAGGACCGAGCCGCUCUCAUGGGACAGCCGCGCUUUGUCUCCAUGACGGCUAGAUCCCUCGGCCCUCUCUGCGGUGACCACCUGCGCAGCAAGGGAUGCUGGGAAAUAACGAGCAUUUCUAUUCCAGUCAGGAAGACAAAGAUGGGGAGGACGAGGAGGAGGAAGAAGAGCAAGAGGCAAGAAACGACGAAGGCCGCCGCGGCAGAGAGAACGGAGGCCUAGAGGAUCUGGGGGAGGAGGAGAUGAUCGGAGGACGGCAGUCCUGGGAGGCGAAGGGCGGAGAGGCCAUAGUGGCGGGUAGACAGAGGGUGGACCGAGCGUUAAGGCCGGGAGUUCUGGAGAACCGGGGCGUCCCCCACAUGUCCAGUCAGGCCCAACAACAUCAUCCCGGCCAGAACAAGCUGCAGCAGCAACACCUGAUGGCGGCGAAGAGACGAGCCCUGAUGGAGCGCAGCAUGACCACCAUGGCUCCUCAGGAGGACACCUUCAUGACCAUGAUGGUGUUCCGCAUCGGCAUCCCUGACAUCAAGCAGACACGGUGCCUCCAGUUUGACCAGGACUGCACCGUGUGGAGCGCCAAGCAGCAGAUCGUCUGCUCGCUCGGCGAGUCCUUGUGGGACGUCUACAACUACGGACUUUUCCAGCCGGCUGGAGAAGGACGGGACGCCAAAUUCCUGGAGGAGGAGCGGCUCCUGCGAGACUACGCCCGCACCUUUGAGAAAGGGGUUCCCUACCUUGAGUUUAGGUACAAAACCCGAGUUUAUAAGCAAAUCAACCUGGAUGAAAAGGCUCUGGCUAAGCUCAGCACCAAGGCCAGCCAGAAGAAGUUUCUGGAAUACGUUCAGACUGGAGCGAUGGAGAAAAUGGCAAAGGUUCUGGAGAAAGGCCUUGACCCAAACUUUCACGACCCGGACAGUGGGGAGACGCCGCUCUCCGUGGCCGUGCAGUCCGGACUGUCGGUGGACGGCGUCCGGUUGCUGGUUCUGGGCGGCGCUCACCUGGACUUCAGGAGCAGAGAUGGGAUGACGGCGCUGCACAAAGCUGUCAGAGCUCAUAAUCACGCUGGACUGCUGGCUCUUCUGUCUCUGGGAGCGUCUCCGGACUACAAGGACCGCUGUGGCCUGACCCCGCUGUACCACACCGUGCUGACAGGGGGCGAAACGUCCUGCUGCGAGACCCUGCUCUACUACAGGGCCAAGCUGGGCACCAGGGACGAGAAUGGCUGGGAUGAGAGUCACCAGCACAGGGAUGAAGAGGAAUUUGGAAUGGAAGAAAUACACAAGGCUUGCCAGAAUGGCUUUGCACAACACUUGGAGCAUCUGCUGUUUUAUGGAGCAGACACUGCUUCUCAAAACGCCUCAGGGAACACGGCACUUCACAUUUCAGCCCUGUACAAUAAGGAAAGCUGCGUCCGGGUUCUUCUGUACAGGGGGGCAAACAGGGAGGCGAAGAACAAACAUGGUCAGACCCCGUUUCAGGUAGCUGUGAUGUCAGGCCACUUUGAGCUCGGGGAGAUCAUCAAAAACCACAAAGACACCGACAUCGUUCCCUUUUUAGAAUCGCCAAAGUUUGUGCCCAGGCGAAGAGAGAGCGUCCACACGCUGCCUCUUCCUUCGCUCCAUUCCCACCCCCUGCUGCGCGCUAACAGCGAUAACACCAUGACCCAGUCCGACCCCUUGAUCCUCCCCAGCAAGGCUGCCACCAACCCUGGACAGGGCCAGCGCCGGGCCUCCAUAGGCGUCAGGAGCUCCAGCAGCCCCAGAAACCGCACACGUUCCCCCUCCAGAGGCAGAGGAGGCCAAAGUGACACAGAGGAAAGACACCGGCAGCCCAGAGGCAGGCAGGGCAGCGCGCCAUCGGCCGGCAGUGGGGGAGGCCAGAUGAAGCGAAUGUACAGUGCAGUGCCGGGGCGGGUGUAUGUCGCCAUCCGCUCCCACUCUGCAAGUGGAGACAGAGAGCUCUCACUUAACAAAGGCGACAAAGUAAAAGUGCUGAGCGUGGGAGAGGGGGGGUACUGGGAGGGAACGGCGAGAGGACGCACCGGCUGGUUUCCUUCUGACUGUGUGCAGGAGGUAGCCCCGCCCAGCAAGGAAAAAGAGACGCGAAGUGAAAAGGCCAAGAGGAAGCUUUUCCGCAACGUCACAGUGGGAGCAUACGACGGUACCGACGGCCCGAGCGACUACAUCAUUAAGGAGAAGACAGUGCUCCUACAGAAGAAGGACAAUGAAGGCUUUGGCUUUGUCCUCAGAGGAGCCAAAGCUCAGACUCCCAUAGAGGAGUUCACCCCAACGCCAGCCUUCCCUGCGCUGCAGUACCUGGAGUCUGUCGAUGAGGGGGGCGUGGCGUGGAGAGCGGGCCUGAGGAUGGGCGACUUCCUCAUCGAGGUGAACGGGCAGAACGUGGUGAAGGUGGGUCAUCGGCAGGUGGUGAACAUGAUCCGACAGGGCGGCAACAGCCUGAUGGUGAAGGUGGUGAUGGUGGCCCGAAACCCCGAGCUGGAGGACACGGCACGAAAGAAAGCUCCUCAGCAGACGAAAAGACUGACCCCUCCUGCCAUCGCCCUGCGCUCAAAGUCCAUGACGUCGGAGCUGGAGGACAUGGUGGAGAAAGCAGCUGCCUCUCCGUGGAAGAAGAAAGCAGAAUAUGAGCCUUCCCAGGGUCCUGAUAAGAAGAGAACAGUUUAUCAGAUGGCGUUAAAUAAACUGGAUGAAAUAUUGGCUGCAGCCCAACACACCAUUACAUCAGACAACCAGGGCCAGAGGGGUCACGGAGGCAAGAGGGACCGAAGCAAGAGUAUUGUUCCCAAUGAGCAACCAUAUGAGCAGCAGUCGUCCGUGAGCAUGAUGCAGACCGGGCAAGGAUUUGGCUUCAACCAGGCCCAUUUUCAACCAGGCCACGGACAACAGCAUGCAGUCAUGAUGCGUCAAAAAUCUAUUGGUGUAACAGAAGAAGAAAGGCAGUACCUCCACCCGCCCGCUAUGAAACUGGCUCGCAGCCUUUCAGUCCCAGGACCUGAAGAAAUCCCACCACCCCCCAACACGUCUGCCCCAGAGCCGCCUUUAUCUGCAGGCCCUUAUCCUGGCAGAGGCCCUGCUAUGCCCAUACCCCCAGUAUCUCAAGCCCACUACCAGCUCCACUCACAGCCAGCGUAUCCUCAGCAAGCUGCCUGGGAGAUGGGAGGACCCGGAGCAAUGAACCAGCAGGUCAUGGUUCCCACCCUCCGCCGGCAGUCAGAUGGACUGUGCAUACGAGAGCCAGAGGCGCCUCGGAGAGGAGGUGGCAAAAUGGGAGGGCUGAGGAGAGGAUACAGCAGUGCCACACCACCAACAAGUGCAAAGCCAAAGGUCCAACAGGUCCAACAUCCUGCACAACCCCCCAACAGAGAGCAAGGUGGACGGGACGGAAGGGGAGCGGCGAAGCGCGGCGGUCGGGGAGCUUUGAUCAAGCAGUCCAAGGUGGAAGAUGGGCUGAGACAGCAUCGGGGUAAAGGAGGUGCAACCAAGGAGAAGAGCUCCAUCCCCAUCCCCACAAUCAUUGUCAAAGCGCCCUCCACCAGUAGUAGUGGACGAAGCAGCCAGGGCAGCAGCAUGGAAGCGGAGCCCACCCAGGAAGCGGAGGACCAAACCUCUGGAAACGCAGCCCCAGACAGCGCCAGCACAAGCCUACCCUCGCCGCUGACCCCCACACCGCCGCAGCAGACUACGCCCAACUCCUUGCCUUCAUCAACCGUGGCGCCUGCUGCAUCUUCGCAGCAAAACCUGGAGAAGGUGGACUAUACGUCAACAUUUGGCACGGCGUUUAGUGGAGGAGGAACGCGGAGGGACAGAGAACGCUUAAGAGACAUGAGGAGAAAGAGCGCUUCGUUCUUUCAGUCAUCAGAGGAAGACAUCCAAGGAGAGGCGGGUGGCGGAGCAGGAGGAGAAGGAGGAGGAGGAGGAGGACAUGAGGCACAAGUUCAGCCUUUGCAAAGCUCAAAAAUGGAGGUGCCAACUCCUCGACUUCGGCCUUCCAAGUCUAUAGAUGAGGGCAUGUUUUCUGGGGAAAACUACAUAAACUAUUCCAGUAGCAUGCCCCCAGCUUUUGGCCUUCCAGAGUACUCUUCACCGAUCCUUGGCCAGGAUGGUCAGCCCAAGUCAGCUCCCUCGGUGUAUGGCACCCAGCCUGCUACGACCUUCAUCCACCCACUAACGGGGAAAGUGCUUGAUCCCUCGUCCCCACUUGGUCUGGCGCUGGCUGCAAGAGAACGCGCUUUGAAAGACGACCGGAGGACACGCCGAGACGACAGGCACUUUGGCCGGCAGCUGUCCACGGUCGGAUCGUACCCGACGCCCGUUCAGACCCCAACACCUUCACUAUUUACAACCCCAACACAGUCUGCGUACACCUCUCCGGUGUCCCUCCACCUCGGAUCCCCCUCGGUCACCACCUCACCUGCCUCUUUAAGCCGGCCACAGUCACCGAGGAUUUUACGUUUAGGAGGAGGAGGAGGAGGAGGCGGCGGGGAAAGGAUGGAGAGAGAGAAAGAGGGCGGACCUAAGGAGGGUCUUAGGGUUCGUUUCUCUGAGGACAGAAACAGCCAGUUUCCAACCCAGUACUACCCACAGAGCAGCAGAGAGAGAGAAAAGGAGCUGUACGAAAGCAAACAUGCUCAGCCUGUUCAGCCUCCUCCCCCGCCAGCUCAACCUGCCCCCCGUAGACCUUCCUAUCUGCAGAUGGAAAACGUUCCCAACACGAGCUAUAUUCCACAGUACACUGUCCCCACAGCUCCGUCACAGACUAACGACGCAAUGGGAGAAGCGAGAGGUGGGGCGGGUGGCCUGGGACUGAUGGUCCUACCUCCUCCAACUCCCUCGAUAGAUGUAGACGAAGAGUUUGUUUUUGCAGACCCGUUGCCCCCUCCUCUACAGUUUGCUAAUGGGAAGAAUGAGAGAGCGCUGGAGUUCUCCCAGCAUCAUCAGCACCAGAGUCAACACGCUGCUUCUGUUGCCCCACCUCCGCCGCCCCCUCCUCCAUCGCCGAAGCCCUCAAAUGCUCCCCAACCCUCGUCACAAGGGGGCGACUCCGCCACCUCUAGCCUCACUUCCUAUGACAGCGAAGUGGCCAAUCUCACGCAGUCUGCACUCUCCCCGUCGUAUCCGUCCCCGCAAAUAUUCGCACCGUCGUCCAGCACUAACACCUCAGCAGCCGCGGCGCCUGCCACAUCGCUACACAGACCCCAACCCAUGUCCCAUUCGUACUCUUACUACGGCGGCACUAACGACCCAUCGACUGGUGUUCAGACCCCAGCCCAGGACAGAGGCACAGCUGCCCUGACCACCACCAUGACCUAUGCUACUACUACCACGACAGCAACCGCUGCCGCCACAACUACCACAACCUCUCCAGCGUCCUCUGACUACAGCAUGGCCGGGGUCAAAGUGGGCCUUAGCACGGGAGGUAAAGGAACCGAUCCCUCCCAUUCCAGCACAGUCAUCUCGAAGAGCGGAGACUGGCAAGACGCAGUGGUUGAUUCUGGAAUCGAGGAGCUGGACAGCCACAGCAGUAGUGACCAUCAUCUGGAAAUGCUGGGACUGAGCGGCCUGAGAGGAGAAAAAAUGGGACUUGGAGGCGACGGGCGAGGAGGAGAGGCGGAAAAAGUCAGUGACCAUCAGGAUCAAUGCACAACCUACAGGGGAGGGCAAACAUUCGAGUUGCACGCCUCCAAAAUGGCAAACCCCGUCUUUCCAAAAAUGACUCAUUACAAAGAAGUGGAAGGGCGGGGUCCGCCGAUAGCUUUACGCAGGCAGAACAGCACCAACCCGGCUCCCUUGCAGCUGCAGAGGCAAAGCCACCCCGAAGACGCCGGUCUAGACAGAAGUCUCGUCGAUGACAGAAAGCACAAGCAGAGUCGGUCCAGAAUGGAAGAUGGCUUCGGCUCCGCCCUGACGGCCUGUUUAGAGAGGCCCGUGGAGCCUCGGUCGGUGCUCUGGGGGGAUAUUGCUGAAAAUGAGCAAGCAGCUCUCCAGCAUGGGGGUGUGGUUUUGGAGGGUCGCAGACUUCACUCGCCUUUCUCUGGUGUGAAAGCCAGCAUCAUCAAUGAGCUGAGCUCCAAGCUGCAACAGAUGAGUAGCAUGAAGAGCAUGGAUGACUGGAGCCACGCUCCAAAGUCCCCCAACGUGCAUAGGUAUUCAGCAGAUUUUACGGAUGCCUUCCACAGCCCACCGACUGGUCGCUCCACCUCGCCGCUACCGACCUCCUCCCCGCAGCAUCGACAGAUCCUGACUCCCAACCUCUCGGCCUCCCCUUCUGUCUCUCCGUCUCCUCAAGUCCCAGUUCAGCGCAACUGGACCCGAUCCCCUUCUCCUCAGAUGCCGACUUCCCCGGUACAUUCCCAUCCUCCCCAUUCUCCAACCUACUGCCCAUACCCAACAUCACCUAAGCACAGAUCUAAGUUGCGCAGGCAGACGUUUGAUUUUCAGUGUAGUCCCUCUAAAGAGAUGCGGUCCUCGGUCUCCAGGCGCCGGGCUCCCAGCCCGCUCAUCUACAGCACCGAACAGCCGAACCCCGCCCCACCCAGACCGUCCUCCCUCCCCAUCCUCCCCUCCACACCUAUCUACAGUAACCCCUUUGACUUUCCUGGCCCCCUCACUCCUCCGUCUCCUGGACACUCUCUUGGAGAUCCCUACCAUGCUUCGACUCCCCCGCUGUUCUCUCCAUCUGGCGUGCCGAGUCCAAACCCUCUUCUUGUCUCACGCUCUCUCUCCCCGACUCAUUUCUUCUCCGGAGCCUCCUCCCCUAUGCACCUACCACCCAGCCCUUCAUGCCUCAACUAUCCCCACCUCAGUCCCCUCCCCCCGGCCAAACCCUUCGCCAUCAAACCUCUGCCCUACUGGACCAAGUACGACGUUGCCGACUGGUUGACUUACUUAAAUUUGGGUGAACACAGGGAGCGUUUUAUAGACAACGAGAUAGACGGAUCUCAUCUCCCCUCGCUUACUAAGGACGACUUCUUGGACCUGGGAGUGACACGUGUGGGGCAUCGAAUGAACAUCGAGAGGGCCCUGAAGAAACUCACUGACAGGUGAGGGAGGACCAAAACAAGCUCAGGGAGAUGUAGAGACGACUCAAACGGUCCGAAAAGAAGUACUGGAAGGCGAAGGAAAGCCAAAGUGUCUCGCUAGCUUCAUUUAAGCGUCUCUCCUCUCCUUUGCAUGUCCCCACAUCUCCUCGAGACACAGACUGAGAAAGUGAAGGGAUGAUUCAGAGGUGAAAGAAAAGGGAGAGAAACUAAUUGACAAAGAUGAUGAAUAUCAGAAGAUGUGCAAGAGAAGAACAGUGGACAUCAACAGGCUGCGGUUUAGCAAAGCCUAAAGGGGUGGAUGUCUGCGCCAAGGUGUUUGCUUUGCUCCUCAUACAUUUGUGGAACGAGUAUAAAAAGUCAGAAUGUCCUAAGUUGGUGGUUUUUAAGUGGAAAUAUGUUUCUAAACUUUUGAUGGACAGGCUUUUAAUUAACGCACUAUUUUGUGGUGUAAAAGAAUUAAAAAAAACACACUCACACGGUUUUUUUUCCCAGGCACAGUGACAGAUGGAUUCUCGCACCAUCUGCUGCUCAGAGCUGCUGCUGAGAAAACUUAAGUUGGAGUUUAAAGACAAGCAGACAAG